rnacentral:tRNA from 1 species
GGAAUGUAGCUCAGUGGUCAAGAACUUGCCUAGUCUGUAUGAGGUCCUGAGUUCGAUUCCCAGUACCG